AGAGUUUGAUCAUGGCUCAGAGCGAACGGCUGGCGGCAGGCCUAACACAUGCAAGUCGAACGGACCCUUCGGGGUUAGUGGCGACGGGUGAGUAACACGUGGGAACGUGCCUUUAGGUUCGGAAUAGCUCCUGGAAACGGGUGGUAAUGCCGAAUGUGCCCUUCGGGGGAAAGAUUUAUCGCCUUUAGAGCGGCCCGCGUCUGAUUAGCUAGUUGGUGGGGUAAUGGCCCACCAAGGCUACGAUCAGUAGCUGGUCUGAGAGGAUGACCAGCCACAUUGGGACUGAGACACGGCCCAAACUCCUACGGGAGGCAGCAGUGGGGAAUCUUGCGCAAUGGGCGAAAGCCUGACGCAGCCAUGCCGCGUGUAUGAUGAAGGUCUUAGGAUUGUAAAAUACUUUCACCGGUGAAGAUAAUGACUGUAGCCGGAGAAGAAGCCCCGGCUAACUUCGUG
rnacentral:rRNA from 1 species